rnacentral:lncRNA from 1 species
AUGGGCAGCAAGAUGACUUCCGCCACCAGGGUCGUGCAGGUAGUGAAACCACACGGUCCAUUAAUAAAGUUCCCUAACAGAAGAGACAAACCUAAACUCAGUGCCUCAGAAGCUCUGGGGUCUGCUGCGCUCCCCUCCCACUCCUCUGUCAUUUCAUAGCAUCCUAAAGGAAGUACGAUUUACUGAUGCGCCAGGGGCCACCAGACACUGCAGAAAUUAUAAAAUCAUUACCUCAGAAAUACAGAAGGAAACCUGUGUCUCAAGAGGAAAUGGAGUUUAUCCAGCAUGGGGGUCCAGAGUGA